rnacentral:tRNA from 1 species
GGGCGGUUAGCUCAGUUGGUUAGAGCACUACGUUGACAUCGUAAAGGUCAGAGGUUCAAUCCCCCUACCGCCCACCA